GACGAACCUGACGAACGUUAUUCGGAAUUACUGGGCUUAAAGGGUGCGUAGGCGGCGCCACAAGUUGGGUGUGAAAUCCCUCGGCUCAACCGAGGAACUGCGCCCAAUACUGUGGUGCUCGAGGGAGACAGAGGUGAGCGGAACUUAGGGUGGAGCGGUGAAAUGCGUUGAUAUCCUAAGGAACACCGGUAGCGAAAGCGGCUCACUGGGUCUUUUCUGACGCUGAGGCACGAAAGCUAGGGUAGCGAACGGG
rnacentral:rRNA from 1 species